CCUACGGGGGGCAGCAGUGGGGAAUAUUGGACAAUGGGCGAAAGCCUGAUCCAGCCAUGCCGCGUGUGUGAAGAAGGCCUUCGGGUUGUAAAGCACUUUCAGUGGGGAAGAAAGCCUUGGGGCUAAUACCCUCGAGGAAGGACAUCACCCACAGAAGAAGCACCGGCUAACUCCGUGCCAGCAGCCGCGGUAAUACGGAGGGUGCGAGCGUUAAUCGGAAUUACUGGGCGUAAAGCGCGCGUAGGCGGUCUGAUAAGCCGGUUGUGAAAGCCCCGGGCUCAACCUGGGAACGGCAUCCGGAACUGGCAGGCUAGAGUGCAGGAGAGGAUGGUAGAAUUCCCGGUGUAGCGGUGAAAUGCGUAGAGAUCGGGAGGAAUACCAGUGGCGAAGGCGGCCUUCUGGACUGACACUGACGCUGAGGUGCGAAAGCGUGGGUAGCAAACAGGAUUAGAUACCCCAGUAGUC
rnacentral:rRNA from 1 species